GUCUCACUUCAACAGCACACACGCCAAAGUUGUAAUGAGACAGAGAAGGUUAACACCACUCUGCCUGCACAAGGAUGGCAUGCAAAUUGAUGAGACAUUUCCUGUUUUC